UGCCUACGGGAGGCAGCAGUGGGGAAUAUUGCACAAUGGGGGAAACCCUGAUGCAGCGACGCCGCGUGAGUGAAGAAGUAUCUCGGUACGUAAAGCUCUAUCAGCAGGGAAGAAAAAAAGUCUUUGGCUUUGGACGGUACCUGACUAAGAAGCCCCGGCUAACUACGUGCCAGCAGCCGCGGUAAUACGUGUGGUGCAAGCGUUAUCCGGAUUUACUGGGUGUAAAGGGAGCGCAGGCGGCACGCUAAGCCUGAUGUGAAAACCCGCGGCCCAACCGCGGGAGUGCAUUGGGAACUGGCGAGCUA
rnacentral:rRNA from 1 species